CAAUCAAGAACUCAAGCAAAUACAAUCAUCAACUAGCAAAAAAGUCUAGUAAAAUAAGUACAAAAAUAAUAUAUGAAAAUUUCUACUAAAAACAAAUAAUAUGUGGAAAUCAUUGACAUUAGGGAUUCACCUUAUGAUUUUCUUUUUUUCUUCUUGCAAAAAUUCCUAGUACUUUGUAAUAUGAGAGAGAUGGUGUGGCGUGGAGUGGAGAGGAUAAGAGAGAGCACACAUUUUGGCCUUGGCAAAGGAAAGAAUAAGUUGUAAAGAGUGAAGAAACAAUUUGGGCAAAGAAAAAAAAAAUAAUCAAUUUGGGCAAAGAAAAGAAUAAUCAAUUUGGGAAAAGGAAUGUUGAACCUUGGUUAUCUGAGAGAGGAGAGCACACCUUCUUGUUUGUUGGGAACUUGGGAGAGGAAAAUAACUUGUUGGAAAUAGGGGUGGGCACUCAAACCAGCGAACUGGAAAUCCGAGUCAAGCUGCACCGAACCAAACUGGAAAAAAAUCGAGUUGACCAAAAAGUCAACAACC
rnacentral:lncRNA from 1 species